UACCAGCACCCCGAGUGGUCGGGACGUUUAUUGGGCCUAAAGGCAUCCGUAGCCGGUUCUACAAGUCUUCCGUUAAAUCCAACUGCUUAACAGGUGGGCUGCGGAAGAUACUAUAGAGCUAGGAGGCGGGAGAGGCAAGCGGUACUCGAUGGGUAGGGGUAAAAUCCGUUGAUCCAUUGAAGACCACCAGUGGCGAAGGCGGCUUGCCAGAAUGCGCUCGACGGUGAGGGAUGAAAGCUGGGGGAGCAAACCGG
rnacentral:rRNA from 1 species